UAUCUUACCUGGCAGGGGAGACACGAUGAUCAAGAAGGUGGUUCACCCAGGGUGAGGCUCGGCCAUUGCACUCUGGUUGUGCUGACCGCUGCGAAUUCCCCAAAUGUGGGAAUCUCGACUGCAUAAGGC
rnacentral:snRNA from 1 species